rnacentral:rRNA from 1 species
AGGACUAACGCUGGCGGCGUGCCUAACACAUGCAAGUCGCGCGGGGGAGCAAUCCCUAGCGGCAGACGGGUGAGUAACGCGUAGAUAACGUGCCCCCUAGCUCGGGAUAGCUGGCCGAAAGGCCAGGUAAUACCGGAUGUGGUCCUGGAGGGACAUCCCUUCGGGAAGAAAGCAGUAAUGCACUAGAGGAGCGGUCUGCGACCUAUCAGCUUGUUGGUGAGGUAAUGGCUUACCAAAGGCUUCGACGGGUAGCCGGUCUGAGAGGAUGAUCGGCCACACUGGCACUGAGACACGGGCCAGACUCCUACGGGAGGCAGCAGUGAGGAAUUUUGCGCAAUGGGCGAAAGCCUGACGCAGCGACGCCGCGUGAGGGAUGAAGGUUUUCGGAUCGUAAAACCUCUGUCAGUGGGGAAGAGCAAAGGACGGUACCCACUGAGGAAGCUUCGGCUAACUACGUGCCAAGCAGCCGC